rnacentral:rRNA from 1 species
CUACGGGAUGCUGCAGUGAGGAAUAUUGCACAAUGGGGGGAACCCUGAUGCAGCAACGCCGCGUGGAGGAUGACGCAUUUCGGUGUGUAAACUCCUUUUAUAUGUCAAGAAAAUGACGGUAGCAUAUGAAUAAGCACCGGCUAACUCCGUGCCAGCAGCCGCGGUAAUACGGAGGGUGCAAGCGUUACUCGGAAUCACUGGGCGUAAAGGACGCGUAGGCUGGCUUCUAAGUCAGAUGUGAAAUCCAAUGGCUUAACCAUUGAACUGCAUUUGAAACUGGGAGCCUAGAGUUCAGAAGGGGCAGAUGGAAUUAGUGGUGUAGGGGUAAAAUCCGUAGAUAUCACUAGGAAUAUCAAAAGCGAAGGCGAUCUGCUGGGAUGAUACUGACGCUGAGGCACGAAAGCGUGGGGAGCAAACAGGAUUAGAUACCCCAGUAGUC